UACGUAGGGUGCAAGCGUUAUCCGGAAUUAUUGGGCGUAAAGAGCUCGUAGGCGGUUUGUCGCGUCUGCUGUGAAAACUGGAGGCUCAACCUCCAGCCUGCAGUGGGUACGGGCAGACUAGAGUGAUGUAGGGGAGACUGGAAUUCCUGGUGUAGCGGUGAAAUGCGCAGAUAUCAGGAGGAACACCGAGCGAAGGCAGGUCUCUGGGCAUUAACUGACGCUGAGGAGCGAAAGCAUGGGGAGCGAACAGG
rnacentral:rRNA from 1 species